rnacentral:lncRNA from 1 species
GAGGGACAACAUGAUCCCGGCCUCCCCUACUGUGUCAGUGUUGGCGGACCUCCUCCCUGCGCUCGCGCUGCUCCAAACAGGUAUGAGCCAUGACGGCAGCAAGGUGACACCCACCUCUCUUCCGCUGCUGCUCCGGUGUGGUGCAACGCGGCUCCAGCUCAGCUCCCGGUGGAGAUUUGUAUAUAAAUUCCAACAUCCAUCGGACAUCCCUCUCUCCGCGAUGUCCUCCAGAGGUAAACAUGACUUGUGCCGAAUGUGUGGCGGAGCUCUCAAGGGAAACCAAAGGCGGUGGCUGUUUGGGGGCCUAAACAAGAAGACUGGUCCGCCUCGGACCCCGACAAGUUCUCUGAGGGGAGGAAGUCUGUCCCGGUCCUCACAGAGCAGCCCCUGGGGCAGCACGUCAUCUCUGUGUUCCUCAGCGUCUCUCUCCAAGUCGCAGUUAUGCCUGAGCUCCCCGUCCAAAGGGAUGGAUCUGCUCUCGGUGUUGACUCACAUACUGGGGCAUUCUGUCCCACGAGGCAGCGGGCAGGGGGAGUUUGUGUGCGGGAAAUGCAUGUGCGUCCUCGAGCGGGUAUUUAAGUUCGACUCGGUGAUAGCCAGGGUGAGGGUCCUUUCCUCCGAGAGGCUUCAGAAGCUGAUGCAGGAGAGGGACAAGAUCAGACAGGGGGUGCGCCAAAGCUAUUACCAGAGACACCCGCGGGACUUCCAGAGCAGGGGCAGCACCAGCGAGGAGGAUGGAGAUGCGGAGAAGGAGGGCUACAGGGAGAUGCUCAAAGAGAAUAUGGCACUCUCAGAGUACGAGUGCUGGUCCGAGAAGUGGGACACGUGCCCGUAUUUUACAAGAACGGGUAAAAGAUGCAGAAAGGGCAAAGGAUGUGAAGGCUGUGAUUCUUUACGGGUGUCCUGACUCAGAUUAUGAGUCUGUUUGUGGGAAUUCCUCGCCGUUUGCCUUUCCAACCCUUCUCCCCGUUGCCGUUGUCGCGGGACAAAUCUCAGAGCAUGCCCCUCCACUGGCAGAGGAUGCCAUCCUUCAGCUCCAGCCAGUCUUCACUGGCCGUGUCCACUCUCUCCUUACAAACGUCUUCCCGCACUGCGUCCAUCCAGUCUCUGGACUCUCUUGAUGGCAACGACCCGUUUGACUCGCUGGGUGUUCAGUCGGCCAACCUUGUGCUGAAGGAGCUGAGAAGUAUUGAAGGGAAGCCGGUUUGUUCACCAUCUGGCAGUAAGAUCCCAGUUCUGGGCAGGAAGUACUCGGGAGAAGUUGGGGAGACGGCGUCACCCUCCGUGAACAGGGUACUGCACUUUGGGAAUGUAGAGAACGGAGGGCAGGAAGUGGAUGAAGAGGACGGGGAUGUCCUAUCAGAGCUGAGGGAAGAGUUCAUGCCUCUUCAUCGAGAAAGCACUACUGGCAAGGUUCACUACGCUGUCAGACACCUGCGAGGCCAGCUGGACCAAGCUUUGUCCCACAUCAGGACCCUGGAGGCCGAGCUGAAACAUGGGAGGAGCAAACAAACAGAGUCCAAUGGAUCAGAAGACUGGGCCCCUUUGGUCCAGGAGGAAGGUGGCAGCUCCCUGCUGCAGAGCCUCGGUCACUCCCUGCACAGCCGGGAGCGUCUGAUCCAGGAGUGUAUGGGUCUGAUCAGAAGACUGUGUGUGGAGAAGGGAGCAGGGACUGAGCUGGCCGACAGGCUGACUGAGAAUCUGAAGGAAACUCAAUCGGUCAACAAGGCUGCCCUGCAGACUUUGAGGUUCGAAAUCACUGGGAAGGAGAAGAGCAUGGAGAAAGAGAUCGAGGCACUGAGGAAGGCUGGAAAAGACAGAGAGAGAGACCUCGACACGCUCAACACCGUGCUGCAGUGCAACCAGGAUAUUAUCAAUGACCUGCGAGUGGCUCUGGGGGAGAAGGAGCGACUGCUGAAGGAGGUGGGGAAAGAGAGGGAGGUGUGGAGACAGAGGGACCGGGCCCUUGCGUCUGUCCUGCAGGAGAAGGAGGCUCUAAUCCAGGAGCUGCAGAGCGGUCACAAAGCUGUGCAGGCUCUCUCUGACUCUGUGACUGGUCAGGGGUUGGACUGGUGA